CAGAGGGGGCGGGGAGGGGACCGUUAAAGCCCUGCGCCGCGCCCACAGGAAGCUGCUGUAAUGGCGAGGUCCCUUGCUCCCCGCCACUGUGCUGAGCCGGACCGUGAGGACCACGUGGUUCACUUUCCAACCUGCGGAUUUGGAAACUGAAGCCCAGAGAGAGCAUGGAGCGUGUCCAAGGUCACACAGCGGAUUACAGACUGGGUCAGAGCUGGAUUUAGGCGAGCCUAAUUGCCCGUGGAGCCCCUAGCAGGGCCCUGUGCUGUUAGCAAAGUUUCGCGGAGCCGCGUCCUUAGACCACUUAACAGUUAACCAGAAACCUUUGGUGUUCCGACGUAACUUACAAGAUGUGUAUAGAUUAUAUAAAGAACAUGCGCGUUGACGAGGUGUGGCGACACACCUGCCAUCUCAGUAUCCCGAAUCCUGAACUACAGUUUGAGAUACUGUUUUCAAUUAAAAAGACAAAAUAAAAACCUGGUGCAUAUAGUUGUUUGACAUUCCCUUCCCCUCAUUUGUGUGCCUGGGCUGCAAGUCGUGGGGUUUAGGAGCAUGUGGGUCCAGGUAGCGUGUCGAUUUUAUUACUUAAUCUUAAACGUAAAGAAAUUGCCCUACACUAGUCACACUUAGAAAACUUCGGAGGAUUUAAUGCUCUCCGGAACAUUUUAACCUUGUGAUUUUUUUAUUGUAUUUUUGCAUGUAUUGUAUUUUUGCAUGUAUUGUAUUUUCAACGGCUUAAUAUAUACAUACAGUAUGUUCUGAAUACUUUAACUUCUUAGCCUAACUGACUUUAAGAAAAAUUUUUGUUUAGUGUGC
rnacentral:lncRNA from 1 species